GUAACCCUGGCUGUCCUGGAAUUCACUCUGUAGACCAGGCUGGCCUCAAACUCUGAGAUCUGCCUGCCUCUGCCUCCCUAGUGUUGAGAUUAAAGACAUGUGCCGCCAACCAUCCAGCACUGAAUACUUUUAAAAAUACCUAUUAGCCAUUUGCCUGCCUGCCUUCCUGCCUUCCUUCCUUCCAUCCUUCCUUCCUUCCUUCCUUCCUUCAUUUUUUCUCUCUAUUCAGUUCAUUUGCCCAUGUGUUGAUUGACAGUUUUAUUCUCUGGGUAUUUAAUUUCUGCUUUCUUUGUAAAUUCUACACUUCAGCCUAUAUCUGAAGUGUAACUAGUUAAGAUUUUCUCCCACUCUGGGCUGUCUGUUAACUCUGCUGAUAAUGUCCUUUUCUGUAGAGAAACUUUUUAUACUCCUGUAUCUAUUGAUACUGGGGUUACUUCCUGUGCUGCUGGUGUUCUAUUUAAAAAGUUAUUACCAUAGUAAUAUGGUAUCUCAGCAGCUGGGAAACAGAGGCAGGUGGAACUCUUUGAGUUCCAGAACAGCCUGAUCUACAGAGUGAGUUGAGGAACCCCCUCUCAAAAAAACAGUUUGUGCCUAUUCCAGUAUCUUGAAGGGUACUACUCUGUUGUGCUUUCUGCUAGAAGUUUCAGUGUUUCUAGUUUUAAGUUAAGGUCUUUGAUCUAUUUUGAAUUGAUUUUUGUUCAAGGUAAACGAAUCUAAUCCCAUCUUUAAUCCCAGCACUCGGGAGGCAGAGGCAGGCGGAUCUCUAUGAGUUCGAGGCCAGCCUGGUCUCCAGAGUGAGUUCCAGGACAGCCUCCAAAGCUACACAGAGAAACCCUGUCUCAAAAAAACAAAAAAAUAAAAAAACUAAUUUGUCAGCACCAUCUGUUGAGCAGGCCAUCUUUUUUCUUUCUUUCUUUCUCUCUUAUUUUAGUUUAUUGAAGGGAAAGGGAAGAAGAGAAGGGGGAAAGGGGAGAGAGAAAGAACCAGAGAAGAGGGACAGAGAAGCAGGGUGGGGGUGGGGAGGGUGUUUUCUAAAAGUAUCUUUCUGCCUUCUUUGUCAUGAAUUUGGUGGGAAUUUGCCAUUUUGCCUCUAUUCUGUUCCAUUGGUCUUCUUUUCUCCCCCCACCACCCCAAGACAGGAUUUCUCUGUGUAGCCCUGACUGUCCUAGAACUCACUCUAUAAACCAGGCUGGCCUUGAACUCGGAGAUCCUGAGUGCUGGGAUUAAAGGCAUGCACCACCAUCAAUCACCAGCCUCUUCCUUUUAUUUUUAUGCCAGUGUGUCUUUGUCACUAUAGCUCUGUAGAAUAAUUACACCCCAGCACUGUUCUCUCUCCUGAGGAUUGCUUUGGCUAUUUGUGGUAUAUUGUGGUUCCAUUUGAAUUUGUACAUUAAUUUUUCUAAACCUUUGAGAUAGAACAUAGGAGUUUUGAUAAGUAUUGCAUUAAUUCUUUUCUAAAAGAUUUUAUUUAUUUAUUAUGUAUACAGUCUUCUGCCUGUAUGCCAGCAGAGGAUACCAGAUCUCAUUCAAGGUGGUUGUGAGUCACCAUGUGGUUGCCAGGAAUUGAACUCAGGACCUCUGAAAGAGCAGUCAGCGCUCUUAACCUUUGAGCCAUCUCUCCAGCCCCCACAUUAAUUCCCUGUAUUAGUCUUGGCUUAGAUAUUUCAAUAUUAAUUCUACCAAUUCUGGAGCAUGGAAUAUUUUUUCAAAAUCUAGUAUCUUCUGUGAUUUUUCUUUUUCAUUAACUUGAAUUUUUGUUGUAGAAAUAUUUCACUUCUUUGGCUAGAUAUAUAUUUUGUAACAUUUUGUUGGUUGGUUGGUUGAGACAGGAUGUUUCUACAUUGUAAGUGUUGCAGCUCUGAAGGGAAAGGUAUCCUGACUGUCGGGAGCCAAACUGUAUCUAUAGCUGCAAAGGGAAAGAUAUCCUGACUGUCAGAAGACAGACUAUACCUAUAGCUGUGAAGGGAAGGUAUCCUGGAUACCUAUAACUUCAGAGAGAAGGUAUCCUGACUGUUGGGAGCCAGGCUACACCUAUAGCUGUGUUCCAGUGAGUGACGGUUUCCCCUCAGGGUGCUGUCACAGCACAGGUGAGCCUGAUGGUCCAACUUAGUGAUAACUUAAAUAAUUGCUUCCUGGUGGACUUCCAGAGCAAGGUAGGUGAACUCAAAGUGGUAACUGCAAAUGGGAACACAUCCUCUCAGAAACUGACAGAGAGCAAAAGCAAAGGCAUGGAGCAUUUGAGCACACCUAAUAAACUAAUAGAUAAAAACCUCACCCCAAGUCCAGAGCACUGACUAUCUCCAGUCACAGAGCCCAGAGCACUGACUAUCCCCAAUCACAGAGCCCAGAGCACUGACUAUCUCCAAUCACAGAGCCCAAAGCACUCACUAUCCCCAGUCACAGAGCCCAGAGCACUGACUAUCCCCAGUCACAGAGCCCAGAGCACUGACUAUCCCCAAUCACAGAGCCCAGAGCACUGACUAUCCCCAAUCACAGAGCCCAGAGCACUGACUAUCCCCAAUCACAGAGCCCAAAGCACUCACUAUCCCCAGUCACAGAGCCCAGAGCACUGACUAUCCCCAGUCACAGAGCCAAGAGCACUGACUAUCCCCAGUCACAGAGCUCAGAGCACUGACUAUCCCCAAUCACAGAGCCCAGAGCACUGACUAUCCCCAAUCACACAGAGCCCAGAGCACUGACUAUCCCCAAUCACACAGAGCCCAGAGCACUGACUAUCCCCAGUCACAGAGCCCAGAGCACUGACUAUCCCCAG
ensembl:lncRNA